AACGCGAAGAACCUUACCAGGUCUUGACAUCCCUUUGACCGUCAUAGAGAUAUGAUUUCCCUUCGGGGCAAAGGUGACAGGUGGUGCAUGGUUGUCGUCAGCUCGUGUCGUGAGAUGUUGGGUUAAGUCCCGCAACGAGCGCAACCCUUAUUGUUAGUUGCCAUCAUUAAGUUGGGCACUCUAGCGAGACUGCCGGUAAUAAACCGGAGGAAGGUGGGGAUGACGUCAAAUCAUCAUGCCCCUUAUGACCUGGGCUACACACGUGCUACAAUGGUUGGUACAACGAGUCGCAAGCCAGUGAUGGUUAGCUAAUCUCUUAAAGCCAAUCUCAGUUCGGAUUGUAGGCUGCAACUCGCCUACAUGAAGUCGGAAUCGCUAGUAAUCGCGGAUCAGCACGCCGCGGUGAAUACGUUCCCGGGUCUUGUACACACCG
rnacentral:rRNA from 1 species